AAAACUUUCAACAACGGAUCUCUUGGUUCUGGCAUCGAUGAAGAACGCAGCGAAAUGCGAUAAGUAAUGUGAAUUGCAGAAUUCCGUGAAUCAUCGAAUCUUUGAACGCACAUUGCGCCCUUUGGUAUUCCGAAGGGCAUGCCUGUUCGAGCGUC
rnacentral:rRNA from 2 species